GCGGGCGUAGCAAUACGUCAGCGGCAGACGGGUGAGUAACGCGUGGGAACAUACCUUUUGGUUCGGAACAACACAGGGAAACUUGUGCUAAUACCGGAUAAGCCCUUACGGGGAAAGAUUUAUCGCCGAAAGAUUGGCCCGCGUCUGAUUAGCUAGUUGGUGAGGUAACGGCUCACCAAGGCGACGAUCAGUAGCUGGUCUGAGAGGAUGAUCAGCCACAUUGGGACUGAGACACGGCCCAAACUCCUACGGGAGGCAGCAGUGGGGAAUAUUGGACAAUGGGCGAAAGCCUGAUCCAGCCAUGUCGCGUGAGUGAUGAAGGCCCUAGGG
rnacentral:rRNA from 1 species